rnacentral:rRNA from 1 species
CCCUAACAGCUAGCCCAAACAACGUCAAUAAAUCAACAUUUUACCCCUUGAUAUAUUACAUAUAAAACAAAUCAUUUUAUUUCCCUAGUAUUGGUGAUAAAAAAGGACCGGAGCUAUAGAGAAAGUACCGCAAGGGAAAGCUGAAAGAAAAUGAAACAACCCAGUAAAGCCUAGAAAAGCAGAGAUUUUACCUUGUACCUUUUGCAUCAUGAUUUAGCCAGAAAAGGGGAUUGCGCUGUUAUCCCUAGAGUAACUCGGUUCGUUGAUCGGCGUUGCCGGAUCCAAUUGGUCAAAAAUUUUGUUACUUAGAGCUGUCGCUCUGGGUUGUAAAAUGGGUUUUCCUAGUCCACAUGGGGGUUGUUUGUUUCCCCGCGGUCGCCCCAACCAAAGACAUUCGGACAGGGGUUACUAUGUUUAUACCUUUAUAAGGGUUGUUUAACAUAAUCUGUCUUGGCGUCUAAAGCUUCAUAGGGUCUUCUCGUCUUAUGAGUGUAUCCCCGCUUCUGCACGGGGAGAUCAAUUUCAUUGACUGGAAAGAGGAGACAGUAGAGCCCUCGUCGUGCCAUUCAUACAGGUCCCCAUUUAAAGGACAAGUGAUUGCGCUACCUUUGCACGGUUAAAAUACCGCGGCCGUUGAACACUGGUCACUGGGCAGGCAGGACCUCUUAUACAAGAGGCGAUGUUUUUGGUAAACAGGCGAGGCUAUUUGCCGAGUUCCUUCUCUUUCUUUUAGUCUUUCC